rnacentral:rRNA from 1 species
GAUCCUGGCUCAGGAUGAACGCUGGCGGCGUGCAUAACACAUUCAAGUCGAACGGAGUACAUUGAGAGCUUGCUUUUGAUGUACUUAGUGGCGGACGGGUGAGUAACGCGUGAGCAACCUGCCUGACAGAGGGGAAUAACGUCUGGAAACGGACGCUAAUACCGCAUAAAGCAUAGGGCUCGCAUGGGGCCUAUGCCAAAGAUUUAUCGCUGACAGAUGGGCUCGCGUCCG